UACGGGGGGGGCAAGCGUUGUUCGGAAUUACUGGGCGUAAAGGGUUCGUAGGUGGCUUGUUAAGUCAGACGUGAAAUCCCUCGGCUCAACCGGGGAACUGCGUCUGAGACUGAUGAGCUCGAGUGCAGGAGAGGAACGCGGAAUUCCAGGUGUAGCGGUGAAAUGCGUAGAUAUCAGGAGGAACACCGGUGGCGAAGGCGGGUCUCUGGGCAACAACUGACGCUGAGGAGCGAAAGCGUGGGGAGCGAACAGG
rnacentral:rRNA from 1 species